UGGCAUAAUAUAUUGGCAUGAUAACCUUGG
rnacentral:piRNA from 1 species